rnacentral:rRNA from 1 species
CAUGACUGUAGCUUGGAAUUGGGUUCGGGCUCUUCUUGCGCAGCCUAGGUGGGAGGCUAUGAAGAUUUCCUUCCGGGGAAGUUGGAGCCAUCAGUGAGAGACCACUCUGGAGAGGCUAGAAUCCUAAUGGUGAUCCUUGAAUCAGGACACUUGACAGUUUCAGGUGGGCAGUUUUUCUGGGGCGGGAGCCUCAUAAAGGGUAACUGAGGCGCGCAAAGGUCCCCUCAGUCUGGACGGAAAUCAGACAACGAGUGUAAAGGCAAAAGGGGGCUUGACUGCAAGACCUACAAGUCGAGCAGGAGCGAAAGCUGGCCUUAGUGAUCCGACGGUACCGUGUGGAAGGGCCGUCGCUCAACGAAUAAAAGUUA